rnacentral:rRNA from 1 species
GACGUAGGGCGCGAGCGUUGUCCGGAUUUAUUGGGCGUAAAGAGCUCGUAGGCGGCUUGUCGCGUCGUUCGUGAAAACCCGGGGCUCAACUCCGGGCUUGCGGGCGAUACGGGCAGGCUAGAGUUCGGUAGGGGAGACUGGAAUUCCUGGUGUAGCGGUGAAAUGCGCAGAGAUGUGGAGGAAUACCGAUGGCGAAGGCGGCCUCCUGGGCCUACACUGACGCUCAUGCACGAAAGCGUGGGGAGCAAACAGG